rnacentral:rRNA from 1 species
UACGUAGGGGGCAAGCGUUGUCCGGAAUCAUUGGGCGUAAAGCGCGUGUAGGCGGCUGAGUAAGUCUGCUCUGAAAGCCCGGGGCUCAACCCCGGGAGGCGGGUGGAUACUGCUCAGCUCGAGUCCGGAAGAGGAGUGUGGAAUUCCCGGUGUAGCGGUGAAAUGCGCAGAUAUCGGGAAGAACACCCGUGGCGAAGGCGGCACUCUGGGACGGUACUGACGCUGAGACGCGAAAGCGUGGGGAGCAAACAGG